AACAACCACUGCUUAGUGUUUUGUGUGUCUUGUCGGAUUAUUGGCAUUAAUCAUUAGUCCUAAAAACUUGAGCUAUUAAAAAUACACAGCUAAUUCACUUAAAGCGUACAGACACAGUGUCUACAGGUUUCAAUUAUAAUUCAACCCAACUAGUCUCAUGCCACUUCGAAUGUAACUUGAUCUAAUCCAACAUUCCGUCAUUUCGAACGUGACUUAGUCCAAUCUGACUUUCUCACAUAGGGUAGGAUCAUUGCUGACCCCUGUAAGUCAACAUAUCUGACGCCUGUGUUAGAGUGUACAGAUAAUAGUAUUAGUGCUCAUCUUCAGGACGGAAAGAAUAUUCUUAGACAAGUUCGCUAUCUCCGAUGGGACAUCACUAGCAUCAAACAAAUCCCCUAGCAUUUUCAAAGGCUAAGAUUGUGUUCGCUUUCAAGUAAUACUAUCUAUACACUAAAAAGUUAGCGCAAAUCUUACGAAAAUUUAUUUUAUCAAUCUUAUCACACUCUUAUUAUUUAAAUACUAAAAAUUUUAAAAUAAAUUAUGUAAAUUCUUGGAUAAAGAGCGUUGGGUGUACAGUUCGUAUUUCUCUUUGCUUUUUAGUUAUUGCAAUAAGACUUUACUUCUAUUUUAUUAUUUUAAACUCAACGUGCGUUUAUCUUUUGAUCAUUAAAAGUUGAAUCCAGUGCGUGAAUAUGCAGAUACAUUUGGCGUAAAUAUUAAUUUAUCGUUGAUCAAUGAUAGAUGUUGUUUGUAUGAAUCAUAAGACACGGAAAAGAAGGAAUUUGCCUAGAUUUAGCACUGACUUUUU
rnacentral:lncRNA from 1 species